rnacentral:rRNA from 1 species
UACGUAGGGCGCAAGCGUUGUCCGGAAUUAUUGGGCGUAAAGAGCUCGUAGGCUGCCUGUUACGUCUGCUGUGAAAUCCCGGGGCUUAACCCCGGGCGUGCAGUGGAUACGGGCAGGCUGGAGGCAGGCAGGGGAGAACGGAAUUCCCGGUGUAGCGGUGAAAUGCGCAGAUAUCGGGAGGAACACCGGUGGCGAAGGCGGUUCUCUGGGCCGGUACUGACGCUGAGACGCGAAAGCGUGGGGAGCGAACAGG